UUUAAUGUGGCAGAAAAGUGCUAUGGGUUUAAGCUCCAUUUAUAAAGGUAUUUCACCUUUCAUUAAAA
rnacentral:tRNA from 1 species